CCGACCUUAGCUCAGUUGGUAGAGCGGCGGACUGUAGUUUGAUUAAUCUAAAUUUGAAAUCCUUUGGUCGCUGGUUCAAAUUCGGCAGGUCGGA
rnacentral:tRNA from 1 species